rnacentral:rRNA from 1 species
CCUACGGGAGGCAGCAGUGGGGAAUCUUGCGCAAUGGGCGAAAGCCUGACGCAGCCAUGCCGCGUGAAUGAUGAAGGUCUUAGGAUUGUAAAAUUCUUUCACCGGGGACGAUAAUGACGGUACCCGGAGAAGAAGCCCCGGCUAACUUCGUGCCAGCAGCCGCGGUAAUACGAAGGGGGCUAGCGUUGCUCGGAAUUACUGGGCGUAAAGGGAGCGUAGGCGGAUAGUUUAGCCAGAGGUGAAAGCCCAGGGCUCAACCUUGGAAUUGCCUUUGAUACUGGCUAUCUUGAGUACGGAAGAGGUAUGUGGAACUCCGAGUGUAGAGGUGAAAUUCGUAGAUAUUCGGAAGAACACCAGUGGCGAAGGCGACAUACUGGUCCGUUACUGACGCUGAGGCUCGAAAGCGUGGGGAGCAAACAGGAUUAGAUACCCUGGUAGUCCACGCUGUAAACGAUGAGUGCUAGUUGUCGGCAGGCAUGCCUGUCGGUGACGCAGCUACGCAUAAGUACACUCCGCCGUCGGGGAGGUACGGUCGCGAAGAAUUAAAACUAACAAAUAGAAGUUAGACGGCGUGAGACGUGCCGAACGGACGACGACGAGGGGAGGUAGG